GAUCAUGGCUCAGGACGAACGCUGGCGGCGUGCCUAACACAUGCAAGUCGAACGGAGAUGUUUAUUUCGGUAGAUAUCUUAGUGGCGCACGGGUGAGUAACGCGUGAAUAACCUGACCCGAAGAGGGGGAUAACACCUGGAAACAAGUGCUAAUACCGCAUAAGACCACGGACCGGCAUCGGUCAGAGGUCAAAGGAGGAAACUCCGUCGUUUGGGGUAGGGGUUCGCCGUCCCUAGUUAGGUUAGGUUGGUGGAAGGGUAACCGGCCCAACCAACGCCG
rnacentral:rRNA from 1 species